rnacentral:rRNA from 1 species
UACGAAGGGUGCAAACGUUGCUCGGAAUUAUUGGGCGUAAAGCGCACGUAGGCGGCUUUGCAAGUCCGAUGUGAAAUCCCACGGCUCAACCGUGGAAGUGCAUGGGAAACUGCAGAGCUUGAGUACUUAAGAGGAUCGCGGAAUUCCCGGUGUAGAGGUGAAAUUCGUAGAUAUCGGGAGGAACACCAGUGGCGAAGGCGGCGAUCUGGGAAGAUACUGACGCUGAGGUGCGAAAGCGUGGGGAGCAAACAGG